GACGGAACCGUGCAAACGUUGUUCGGAAUCACUGGGCUUAAAGGGCGCGUAGGCGGGCUCGCUAGUCUGUGGUGAAAUCCCCCGGCUCAACCGGGGAAGUGCCGUGGAUACUGCGAGCCUCGAGGAGGGUAGGGGCAUCUGGAGCGCUGGGUGGGAGCGGUGAAAUGCGUUGAUAUCAAGUAGAACACCAGUGGCGAAGGCGAGUCCCUGGAAACUCCUGACACUGAGGCACGAA
rnacentral:rRNA from 1 species